AACGAACGCUGGCGGCAUGCCUAACACAUGCAAGUCGAACGAGACCUUCGGGUCUAGUGGCGCACGGGUGCGUAACGCGUGGUAACCUGCCCUUAGGUUCGGAAUAACUCCCCGAAAGGGGUGCUAAUACCGGAUAAUGUCUUCGGACCAAAGAUUUAUCGCCUUUGGAUGGGCCCGCGUUGGAUUAGCUAGUUGGUAGGGUAAAAGCCUACCAAGGCGACGAUCCAUAGCUGGUCUGAGAGGAUGAUCAGCCACACUGGGACUGAGACACGGCCCAGACUCCUACGGGAGGCAGCAGUGGGGAAUAUUGGACAAUGGGCGAAAGCCUGAUCCAGCAAUGCCGCGUGAGUGAUGAAGGCCUUAGGGUUGUAAAGCUCUUUUACCCGGGAUGAUAAUGACAGUACCGGGAGAAUAAGCUCAGGCUAACUCCGUG
rnacentral:rRNA from 1 species